rnacentral:sRNA from 1 species
CUGGCAGCCCUGCAGCUUCUUCUGUAUCCCCACAGCACAGAUGCACCACAGGUAGUGACAGUGCCAACAUCCCUCCGCUGCCCCUGCCACAUGCCUCGCCCUGACUUGGAGAGGCCACCUCUAGAGGGGAAGGAAGAGUCUGAAUCUAUUCAUUCUCUAUUGAGACU